GUUUUUUUGCUAUUCGAAACAGUUAGUUCACUCUAGUUUUUAUGCGGUUCCUGCGCUUGCAGAAACUCCUAGCAGACUGCGCAGUAGACUAGGAGGAAAAUGUUGCUGUUGCAAGAUUUAAAAUAUUCCGAUAAAGAAUAUUCCAAAAUUAUAAUAAAAUAAUUAUGAUUAUCGAUUUUUUUCAAAAAGCUGAAAAUUAAAUUCAUAAAUGGUAAAAUCCUUUACGUACACACUUGUAUAAAAUUUGAAAAAUAAUAUUUUCUGAUUAUUGAUUGAAUGUAUUCAAACAAUUAAUCACAAGUAACUAUCUAAAUUGGUGACAUUUGGCAACAGUGAGUAGAUCUGGUUUAUUUAUGUAUGUUUAUUCCAAACAUAACCUUAUAAACAAACAGUUGUUUAUUUAGAGUUAUUUAUUAUUGUUUUCUCAUAUUUUGCAAUUGUUAAGUUGGUUUACUUCGAAUUUAAUGUGCAUUACUGUGGUAUUUCUCCAGUUUUCUAAGAAGGUUGGUGAUUUUGAAUUGGGAUUAUGAUGAAUUUAACCCAAAGGCAAUGUGUGUGUUUAUUUAUGUGGCAAAAUUCCAGGCACCAUAAAAAUUUGAGUUUCUUCCUGUUGCCCAUGGCACAGCCCCAUGGAUGAAAAUCGGUUUGCAGAAUGAAAAGAAAUUGUUCAAUGUGAUAAACUUUCUAUGAACAGUCCUCAGUGUUGUUACAUUAACUUUUAAAUAUGCAUCUUGAGGAGCAGGCCUUUGCAGAAAUACUGAAAAGCGGGUUGCAAAACAACGCAAAAUAAAAUAAACGAAAUAUGUCUUGGAAUGAUAAUUUUGUAAUUCUGUAGGCACAUCUAUUGAGAAGUUACAACCAGUGGCAAAGUGCCUUAAGGGAAUCUAUGACAUAUAUAAUUGAAGGUAUGAGUAUAUGUUUCAAAUCGUUGGAUGAUUCUGAGAAAGUGUAAAUUUUUUUCAUGAAUUUGGUACAUAACCGUCUUUAUCUAAACUCUAAAAAUCAUUGACAUCUGUUUUGAAGAACCAUGUUCCUAGAAACCAUUGAUAACAAAUAUAGACGGUUACCUCUGCAUUCGUUGUAUCAUCUUACUACUCUAUCCAUAGUGAGUCUAAUUUUUAAAUCUAUAAUAAUUGUUUACGUGCUGGUUUCAUAAAGAUGCUUCAAAAAUCUAUAUGGGCCUUACUAGGCAGCACAGCCAUGCCUUUAAUAGUUUUUCCAAUUAUAUUUUCAAUAUGCUUAUUCUAGUUAAGAUUGCGGGACAAAAAGACCACUAAAUAUUUGAGUUCAUUUUUAGGUAUCAGCAUUGGCUCUACAGCCCAUGGUGGGUCUUGGCCUGUUCCAGAAUCAGCUUCCACUCUUUCCUAUCCUUUGCUUGGCUUUCCAAUUUCUCACUCGAGCAUGAAUUUUUGGUAUAUAUGGGAUUAUAUUGUGAUAACGACCAGAUCUAUGAAAGAAUAGUAUGUUGUUAAAGAAGAUUGUGGUGACACUAUUCAUGAAUAUCUGAUAAUAUUGGUUAAUGUGAAUGGAGUCCAAAAUGGGGUUUAGGCUGUUAUAUAAAAAACUAGGUCAUUAGCAUAUGGAAGUAGGGCGACAUUAUCUGGUAUUAAAUUAUGUGAAUGAGGAGAAUUAAACCUAAAAACUCUAUUUAUUCUGCUAAUCAAUAUGAAUUUAAUAUAUUUUAAUAUAAAACAUAUGUUAUUCUUUCUAGGGACACCUCCUCUGAAGGAAUUACAAUUAUUUGCCAGUAUGUCAAAUGAAUUUUCAACAUCAGUCAUACUUUCAUGAAUUUAUUGAUGAAAAUAAAA